rnacentral:misc_RNA from 1 species
CGCACAUUGCGCCCUUUGGUAUUCCGAGGGGCACGCCUGUUCGAGCGUCAUUUAAACCAUCAAGCGCUGCUUGGUCUUGGGGCGCGGUCGAGUGACCCGUCUGCAACUGGUCGGCGGUACUGUCCGGCUUUAAGCGUAGCUGAAUAAUCACGCUUUAGGAGCUUGCGGCAGUGCCUGCUAGGUAACAGCCACCUAGAGUUUGACCUCGGAUCAGGUGGGGAUACCCGCUGAACUUAA